GUUACGUCUAGGGUAGCUCCCGAAAGUUCGAAACCCUAACGGACUGGCGUAACUUCUUCAUUAGGG
rnacentral:sRNA from 1 species